UACGUAGGCAGCAAGCGUUGUUCGGAGUCACUGGGCUUAAAGGGCGCGUAGGCGGGCUUGCAAGUGCUUUGUGAAAUCCCAUGGCUUAACCAUGGAAUUGCUUGGCAUACUGCGGGUCUUGAGGUCGGUAGAGGCUGCUGGAACUCUAGGUGGAGCGGUGAAAUGCGUAGAUAUCUAGAGGAAUACCGAUGGCGAAGGCAGCCCCCUGGGUCAAUACUGACGCUCAUGCACGAAAGCGUGGGGAGCAAACAGG
rnacentral:rRNA from 1 species